AACGAACGCUGGCGGCAGGCCUAACACAUGCAAGUCGAGCGAGGACUUCGGUUCUAGCGGCGGACGGGUGAGUAACGCGUGGGAAUGUGCCCUUCUCUACGGAAUAGCCCUGGGAAACUGGGAGUAAUACCGUAUACGCCCUAUUGGGGAAAGAUUUAUCGGAGAAGGAUCAGCCCGCGUUGGAUUAGGUAGUUGGUGGGGUAAUGGCCUACCAAGCCGACGAUCCAUAGCUGGUUUGAGAGGAUGAUCAGCCACACUGGGACUGAGACACGGCCCAGACUCCUACGGGAGGCAGCAGUGGGGAAUCUUAGACAAUGGGGGCAACCCUGAUCUAGCCAUGCCGCGUGAGUGAUGAAGGCCUUAGGGUCGUAAAGCUCUUUCAGCUGGGAAGAUAAUGACGGUACCAGCAGAAGAAGCCCCGGCUAACUCCGUG
rnacentral:rRNA from 1 species